UAGAGUUCUCGGUAUGGUUGUGUUAAUAGUGUUGCUCUUUGGCCGAGCACCAUGGUUAGUGAAUC
rnacentral:ncRNA from 1 species